AUUGCCUCAGUAACGGCGAGUGAAGCGGCAAAAGCUCAAAUUUGAAAUCUGGCCCUUCCGGGGUCCGAGUUGUAAUUUGUAGAGGAUGCUUCGGGUGCGGCCCCCGUCUAAGUGCUCUGGAACGGGCCAUCGGAGAGGGUGAGAAUCCCGUCUGGGACGGGGUGUCCGUGUCCGUGUGAAGCUCCUUCGACGAGUCGAGUUGUUUGGGAAUGCAGCUCUAAAUGGGUGGUAAAUUUCAUCUAAAGCUAAAUAUUGGCCGGAGACCGAUAGCGCACAAGUAGAGUGAUCGAAAGAUGAAAAGCACUUUGAAAAGAGAGUUAAACAGCACGUGAAAUUGUUGAAAGGGAAGCACUUGCGACCAGACUCGCCCACGGGGUUCAGCCGGCUUUCGGGCCGGUGUACUUCCCCCGGGGGCGGGCCAGCGUCGGUUUGGGCGGCCGGUUAAAGGCCCCCGGAAUGUAACGCCCCUCGGGGCGUCUUAUAGCCGGGGGUGCCAUGCGGCCAGCCCAGACCGAGGAACGCGCUUCGGCACGGACGCUGGCAUAAUGGUCGUAAAUGACCCGUCUUGAAACACGGACCAAGGAGUCUAACAUCUACGCGAGUGUUCGGGUGGCAAACCCGUGCGCGCAGUGAAAGCGAACGGAGGUGGGAGCCCCCUCGAGGGGCGCACCAUCGACCGAUCCUGAUGUCUUCGGAUGGAUUUGAGUAGGAGCGUAGCUGUGGGGACCCGAAAGAUGGUGAACUAUGCCUGAAUAGGGCGAAGCCAGAGGAAACUCUGGUGGAGGCUCGCAGCGGUUCUGACGUGCAAAUCGAUCGUCAAAUUUGGGUAUA
rnacentral:rRNA from 1 species